CACCAGAGGGCGCAAUAAGACCUGCUAACUCUUAAACCCGGAAAUAAC
rnacentral:tRNA from 1 species